CGCUAUCACUCCUACGGGAGGCAGCAGUGGGGAAUAUUGCACAAUGGGGGAAACCCUGAUGCAGCCAUGCCGCGUGUGUGAAGAAGGCCUUCGGGUUGUAAAGCACUUUCAGUAGGGAGGAAGGUAGUGUAGUUAACACCUGCAUUAUUUGACGUUACCUACAGAAGAAGCACCGGCUAACUCCGUGCCAGCUGCCGCGGUAAUACGGAGGGUGCGAGCGUUAAUCGGAAUUACUGGGCGUAAAGCGCAUGCAGGCGGCCUGUUAAGUCAGAUGUGAAAGCCCGGGGCUUAACCUCGGAAUUGCAUUUGAAACUGGCAGGCUAGAGUCUUGUAGAGGGGGUAGAAUUUCAGGUGUAGCGGUGAAAUGCGUAGAGAUCUGAAGGAAUACCAGUGGCGAAGGCGGCCCCCUGGACAAAGACUGACGCUCAGAUGCGAAAGCGUGGGGAGCAAACAGGAUUAGAUACCCUGGUAG
rnacentral:rRNA from 1 species